GAACGGCCACAUUGGGACUGAGACACGGCCCAGACUCCUACGGGAGGCAGCAGUGGGGAAUAUUGCACAAUGGGGGAAACCCUGAUGCAGCGACGCCGCGUGGAGGAAGAAGGUCUUCGGAUUGUAAACUCCUGUUGUUGAGGAAGAUAAUGACGGUACUCAACAAGGAAGUGACGGCUAACUACGUGCCAGCAGCCGCGGUAAAACGUAGGUCACAAGCGUUGUCCGGAAUUACUGGGUGUAAAGGGAGCGCAGGCGGGAGAACAAGUUGGAAGUGAAAUCCAUGGGCUCAACCCAUGAACUGCUUUCAAAACUGUUUUUCUUGAGUAGUGCAGAGGUAGGCGGAAUUCCCGGUGUAGCGGUGGAAUGCGUAGAUAUCGGGAGGAACACCAGUGGCGAAGGCGGCCUACUGGGCACCAACUGACGCUGAGGCUCGAAAGUGUGGGUAGCAAACAGGAUUAGAUACCCUGGUAGUCCACACCGUAAACGAAGAUUAUUAGUGGUUGGAGGAUUGACCCCUUCAGGGCCGCAGUUAACCCAAUAAGUAAUCCACCUGGGGAGUACGACCGCAAGGUUGAAACUCAAAGGAAUUGACGGGGGCCCGCACAAGCAGUGGAGUAUGUGGUUUAAUUUGACGCAACGCGAAGAACCUUACCAAGUCUUGACAUCCCUCGACGAUGCUGGAAACAGUAUUUCUCUUCGGAGCAAGGAGACAGGUGGUGCAUGGUUGUCGUCAGCUCGUGUCGUGAGAUGUUGGGUUAAGUCCCGCAACGAGCGCAACCCUUAUGGUCAGUUACUACGCAAGAGGACUCUGGCCAGACUGCCGUUGACAAAACGGAGGAAGGUGGGGAUGACGUCAAAUCAUCAUGCCCUUUAUGACUUGGGCUACACACGUACUACAAUGGCGUUAAACAAAGAGAAGCAAGACCGCGAGGUGGAGCAAAACUCAGAAACAACGUCCCAGUUCGGACUGCAGGCUGCAACUCGCCUGCACGAAGUCGGAAUUGCUAGUAAUCGUGGAUCAGCAUGCCACGGUGAAUACGAUCCCGGGCCUUGCACU
rnacentral:rRNA from 1 species